GCUCGAACUUAUGAACUGUGAGAUCACGACCUGAGCCAAUGCCGGACACUUAACUGACUGAGCCACCCAGCCACCCCAAUGACGUUUCUUUUUAAAAAGUAGUUGUGAAUUUUCCCUUUGAGCAUUAUUUGUACAAAGGUUGUCAGAUUUAUGAACACAAAAUCAGUUUUAAGCCAAAAGAUAAACAGGAGGGCUCAUUGUUGAAUUAUUCAUCAGCUAUUUCAGUACCUCCCAUGUGCAUAGCACUGUGUUAGGAGCUAUGUGGAUGCUGAGCUAGAAUGUGGGCUCCAUGAGUGGAAAAGAGGAGAGGGAUUCUGUCUACUUUGUUCAGUGCUAUAUUACAGCACCAGGACAGUGCUUGGCACACAGUAGGUGCUCAAGAAAUAUUUGUGGAGUGAAUGAAAAUGUGUUCAUCGUUUUUACCAGUUAGGGUUUGGUUCAUCAGUGAGUGACAGAAACUUCAAAAUAACAAAGACUAGGGGCACCUGGGUGGCUCAGUCAGUUAAGUGUCCAACUCUUGGUUUCAGCUCUGGACAUGAUCUCACUGUUUCGUGGGUUCGAGCCUCAUGUUGGGCUCUGUGCUGGCAGUGCAGAGCCUACUUGGGAUUCUCUGUCUCCCUUUCUCUCUGCCCCUCUCCCACUCGUGCUGUCUCUGUCUCUCUCGGGAUAAAUAAAUAAGCUUAAAAAAAUGUUUUUUAAGUAACAAAGACUCAAGCUGGACAGAAAUCUAUUUCUUACAUGAAAUUAAUCUAGAGGAAAACAACCCAGGCAGUUAGGGAAGGCUCAUAAUGUCAUCAGGGCCCAGUGUAUCCAUGUCUUACUGCUCUGUAUUCUCUGGCAUCUGACUUUCACUUCAGGGUCCCAGCUGACUGCUUGAGCUCCAGCCAUCACAUCAACAUUUCCAAGAAAAAGGAGAAAAGAAGAGCACGCUUCCUUUCUUGAAAGGCACUUCCUGAAUUUAGGAGAACUGCUUACUUACAGGAGCAGACAGGGAGCAGAAGGCUUGAAAGAAGGUCAUCAGAGAAGAAUUGGAGGUCCACUGCAGCGUCCUCCUCAGCAGAGAAACACGAACUCCUUGAAGGUGUGGUGAGGGAGAGGGAGUGCGCUCAAGAGCCUUCACCCGAGUCUGGAUUGGGGCUUCGCUGCUUUCUUGCUCUGGGCUUUUUGAUCGUGUCUGAUCACCUCCAAGGGAACGUUUGGAGCCUUGUCGAGGUAGGCUUUGAGCAGCAAGGACCUCAUCUGGGCCUCAGCUGUAUCCACAACAGCCCAUUCGCUGAGAGUACCAAGGAGUGUGUAUAUGCAAAUAUGGUGUUGUCUAUGAGGAUGCGCGAGACCUACCUACUCUGUGAACACCACAUCUCUGAAGUAAGAAGCUCUCACCAUCGAUCUCUUAGAUCACCUUGCCAAUGUUCCACCAACGUAAGUGAAUCGCAAGUUUAACUCGGGUUUGGUUAUUAAAAUGAUUAGAUUCUGUUGUAAAAAGUGAACUUGAA